GGGUUCGUGGUGUAGUUGGUUAUCACGUCAGUCUAACAUGCUGAAGGUCUCCGGUUCGAACCUGGGCGGAGCCA
rnacentral:tRNA from 1 species